CUUGACAGUGAGUCUUUUACCAUUCUUUGUUCCUCUGAUAUCCACAGCGCCUCUGAUUUGAACCGACAGGAAAUUGAGUUAUUUUUCGGUGAACCAUAGCGCACCUGAACUGCUGAAGAGACGUCUUCCUGCUUUCUCGUGGUAAACAGAGGCAACAAGUAUUUCCUGAUUAACGGAAGAAUCAUGGAAAGAACCUGACGCGGGUUCCCAAGCUGAGAGUCAAGUCUGAAUUAUCUGAAAGUCCAAGGAGGUACACAAAAAGAAUGCCAGGGAAAAAAAGGAUCAAGAAAAGUUAAUAAUUAGAAAAUUUUAAACUUCAAGGGCAAUAAACUUGGCGAAAAAUCGGCCAAUCAACACAGGACUCGAACUUAUAUGUAAGUCACCAAUAUAAAGAGACACACUACGAAUUAGUUCAUUUUCUACUAACACAGCAAAAAAGUCCGGAAAACUAACAAUGACGGAAUGCCGGACAGAAGGAGGCGACACUUAUGACAUGACCACUUGCAUGAUCUCAUGUUAGGGGCUUACAAACAUAAAUACAAGGAAUCACCGUGAACUUAGUAUUACGGGGAUGUAACUACAUUAAGUCACCGUGAACUUAGUAUUACGGGGAUGUAACUACAUAAAGGAAUUACCGUGAACUUAGUAUUACGGGGAUGUAACUACAUUAAGGAAUCACCGUGAACUUAGUAUUACGGGGAUGUAACUACAUAAAGGAAUUACCGUGAACUUAGUAUUACGGGGAUGUAACUACAUUAAGGAAUCACCGUGAACUUAGUAUUACGGGGAUGUAACUACAUUAAGGAAUCACCGUGAACUUAGUAUUACGGGGAUGUAACUACAUUAAGGAAUCACCGUGAACUUAGUAUUACGGGGAUGUAACUACAUUAAGGAAUCACCGUGAACUUAGUAUUACGGGGAUGUAACUACAUUAAGUCACCGUGAACUUAGUAUUACGGGGAUGUAACUACAUUAAGGAAUCACCGUGCACUUAGUAUUACGGGGAUGUAACUACAUUGGAAACCGGUGAUUAUUAUACAUCAUGCUUCUGUACCCCGAUAGUACAACCACUAUAGUGUCUAUAUUAUCCUUAAUUAUAUGUAACAGAACCGUUAAUCAUAGUUUGCUAAUCAUAUCAUGUCCAUUAUACACACUGUGUUUAAACAUUUUUUAUAACACUUUUCACUUGCAAGUUUGUGAAAUAUCAAUGAAAGUCU